rnacentral:rRNA from 1 species
AGAGUUUGAUCCUGGCUCAGGACGAACGCUGGCGGCGUGCCUAAUACAUGCAAGUAGAACGCUGAAGGAGGAGCUUGCUCUUCUGGAUGAGUUGCGAACGGGUGAGUAACGCGUAGGUAACCUGCCUGGUAGCGGGGGAUAACUAUUGGAAACGAUAGCUAAUACCGCAUAAUAUUAAUUAUUGCAUGAUAAUUGAUUGAAAGAUGCAAGCGCAUCACUAGUAGAUGGACCUGCGUUGUAUUAGCUAGUUGGUAAGGUAAGAGCUUACCAAGGCGACGAUACAUAGCCGACCUGAGAGGGUGAUCGGCCACACUGGGACUGAGACACGGCCCAGACUCCUACGGGAGGCAGCAGUAGGGAAUCUUCGGCAAUGGACGAAAGUCUGACCGAGCAACGCCGCGUGAGUGAAGAAGGUUUUCGGAUCGUAAAGCUCUGUUGUAAGUCAAGAACGUGUGUGAGAGUGGAAAGUUCACACAGUGACGGUAGCUUACCAGAAAGGGACGGCUAACUACGUGCCAGCAGCCGCGGUAAUACGUAGGUCCCGAGCGUUGUCCGGAUUUAUUGGGCGUAAAGGGAGCGCAGGCGGUCAGGAAAGUCUGGAGUAAAAGGCUAUGGCUCAACCAUAGUGUGCUCUGGAAACUGUCUGACUUGAGUGCAGAAGGGGAGAGUGGAAUUCCAUGUGUAGCGGUGAAAUGCGUAGAUAUAUGGAGGAACACCGGUGGCGAAAGCGGCUCUCUGGUCUGUAACUGACGCUGAGGCUCGAAAGCGUGGGGAGCGAACAGGAUUAGAUACCCUGGUAGUCCACGCCGUAAACGAUGAGUGCUAGGUGUUAGGCCCUUUCCGGGGCUUAGUGCCGCAGCUAACGCAUUAAGCACUCCGCCUGGGGAGUACGACCGCAAGGUUGAAACUCAAAGGAAUUGACGGGGGCCCG